rnacentral:lncRNA from 1 species
UUCAGUGUUCCAGGAAGCUUAAGAUUAUAUGUGGUCCAAUUGGUUUAGUCUUGCCAUAGCUGUAAAGCCAAUUAGCAAACUUUUUCUAAUGUAAAAAUCUAAUAGGCGGUUACAAUAAAUCAAGCAUGUCAUGUUAGCUCCAAGGACGUUUCCUUCAACCCUGGAGACUUGUUAGAGAAGCUUGUCUGCCCAUGGAUUCAGCAGCAGUUCGAAAGGUUGCUCUAUGGAAAACUGUGCAGGAAGGCCCACCAACCCGCACGAUAAGGUUAUGGACAGCAAGGCUAAGCAAAGCAGACCAUGUCAGGGCAGCCAGAGAACCCAAGAGCAGUCUUAGCAUACACAAUGAAUCAAAAGCAACUCCUAGAGAAAAAAUAUUGAUGCU